CGUUAGGAAACCAAUCUAGACAGAUAUUUUUCAAUUCUUCAAUCAACAAGAAUCAUUCUUUAAUUAACAUCUUUUCCAGAGGGAAUCCACAUUUCAUCACAAAGGCAGAACAAAACAUCCAUGUUUUCGUUAUCCGGGAGCAAGUCAUGUCGUGGAAAGCAUCAGAAUAUGGUGGACACGUAACCCAUCAGAGGAAGCCCAAAGUUCUCGGUGCCCGGUGUCUCCUGUCCCAGAAGCCCAUACCAGCAAAUCACCUACUCGUGGUUGGAUGAAGGCACUGCACAAGAGACACAUAAAUCAGUUCAUAAAAAAAAGGAUGAGAAUUUUCCAGGAGAAGAAACUAUGGAUAUUAAUGAAAGCCCUGUGGGAAGCCUCACUCUAGCUCGUCUGCCUCCAAAAGAUCAGUGAGCAAGACCUCACAGGUGGACAAAGGACCCUGCAAGACAAAUUGCUCACGUUUGGCAUAAGGCAUUUUGUUUUCAAAGUUCAUUAAAAUUGGAAAUGAGCUAACUAUGAGGUAUUGAGGAAGUGAAGUCAAGCGUCCUAGAAUUUUUUCAAGCCAUAAUGAUGAAUCAGUAACAAAGUCAGAAUCUUGACUUAUGUCACGGAAAGCUCCUGCACCCACUUCAGUUCUGC
rnacentral:lncRNA from 1 species